rnacentral:lncRNA from 1 species
AACUCUCAAAAGUUAAAUCAAUAUUGACUAUUAAUGUUGGAAAUUAUCGUUGGUGGGCCAAAAGUGUUGACCAUUAAUAUUAUUAAAAACAAUAAAUAAAUAAAUAAGUGAAGUUUACUUGCGCCGUGGAAUGACCGGCGUCGUGAAAGUUUUGACAGAAAAAGGUAGUUGGAAAAGAGGAGGACGAUGGAGCCCUUCAAGGACUAGAGGCGUGGAGGGGACGUGCUGCCA